GACGAACGCUGGCGGCGUGCUUAACACAUGCAAGUCGAACGAAGAGACAUGAGAGCUUGCUCUUAUGAAUCUUAGUGGCGAACGGGUGAGUAACGCGUAAUCAACCUGCCCUUCAAUGGGGGGACAACAGUUGGAAACGACUGCUAAUACCGCAUACGAUCUGCGUCCGGCAUCGGGCGUAGAUGGAAAGAUGGCCUCUAUUUAUAAGCUAUCGUUGAAGGAGGGGAUUGCGUCUGAUUAGCUAGUUGGAGGGGUAACGGCCCACCAAGGCAAUGAUCAGUAGCCGGUCUGAGAGGAUGAACGGCCACAUUGGGACUGAGACACGGCCCAAACUCCUACGGGAGGCAGCAGUGGGGAAUCUUCCGCAAUGGACGAAAGUCUGACGGAGCAACGCCGCGUGAGUGAUGAAGGUCUUCGGAUUGUAAAGCUCUGUUAAUCGGGACGAAAGCGUUCUGUGUGAAUAAUGCAGGACAGUGACGGUACC
rnacentral:rRNA from 1 species